AAUUUUGGACAAUGGGCGCAAGCCUGAUCCAGCCAUGCCGCGUGAGUGAAGAAGGCCUUCGGGUUGUAAAGCUCUUUCGGACGGAAAGAAAUCGCGCAGGCUAAUACCCUGCGCGGAUGACGGUACCGUCAUAAGAAGCACCGGCUAACUACGUGCCAGCAGCCGCGGUAAUACGUAGGGUGCAAGCGUUAAUCGGAAUUACUGGGCGUAAAGCGUGCGCAGGCGGUUUUGUAAGACAGUGGUGAAAUCCCCGGGCUCAACCUGGGAACUGCCAUUGUGACUGCAAGGCUGGAGUGCGGCAGAGGGGGAUGGAAUUCCGCGUGUAGCAGUGAAAUGCGUAGAUAUAGGAAGGAACAUCAGUGGCGAAGGCGACCACCUGGGCUAAUACUGACACUGAGGUGCGAAAGCGUGGGGAGCAAACAGG
rnacentral:rRNA from 1 species